rnacentral:tRNA from 1 species
GCCUGGCUGGCUCAGUUGUUAGAGCAUGUGACUCUAGAUCACAGGGCCGUGAGUUUGAGCCCCACUUUGGGGG